UGUCACAUUCCUAGAACUGGAAUUACAAAUGACUGCAGAGUACCAUGUGGGUUGUGGGGACCUGGGUGCUCUGCAAGUGCAGUGAUCUUAACAACUGAACCAGCCAUCUUUCCCGCCACAUCAACAUGAGUCCAUAGAAGUUGGACUGUGUGGCUGGAGACAAGACAGCAAGGGUUAGAAUGUCAGGAUUAGAGGCCGGAGCUGUAGGAAGGAAGCCUAACCAGCUCAGUCUGGCCAUGCUGUGAAGAUCCUACCAGAGGAGAUCCCCUGGGGAACAGGGAUACACUAUCUGUACCUUGUUACUUCUGUUCUACAGAGACCAACUGAGGAAGGCCCCUUGGGUGAUAUACAUGCCAAGGUGAAACCCUCCCGGCUCAGGAGGGCAGGAGCUGUCCUAUCUCCUGUCAUGUCAAGAGAAGUCCUGGACACCAAAGAGGGACAAGCAGAAAAGGACAGAGUGAUGGACACUCGGGCUGCACAAUAUGAAGAGCCCCCAGAUGCGACCUAUGCCCAGCCUUUCGACAUGAUACUCAGACAGGAGACAGCUGCACCCCCUUCCUCGCAGGCAGAGGAUGCCCCAGAGGAGCCAGUCUAUAUGCUGCCCUGGCAGUCACUAACCCAGAGACCAUUGGAAACAACAUAAAGUAAUGAGCCUCAGCCUGCAAGGAUGGUGAAUGGAGACCUCUAGGAGAUUCUUGGAAUUUUGGGGAACAUGUCUGCAUUUUGACUAACAUUUCAUAUUUUGGAAAUAAAGCAGGAGAUUUCUCAAUUA